UGUUUGUUGUUCAAGGGCGCAUGGUGGAUGCCUUGGCAUGCUGAGCCGAUGAAGGACGUGUGAGACUGCGUUAAGCCUCGGGGAGUUGUCAACAAAGCGUUGAUCCGAGGGUGUCCGAAUGGGGAAACCUGGCCGUGGUUAUGUGCGGUUACCUGUUAGUGAAUGCAUAGCUGGCAGGGGGUGACGCCGGGAAGUGAAACAUCUCAGUACCGGCAGGAGAGGAAAAUAAUAAUGAUUCUGCUAGUAGCGGCGAGCGAACGUGGAUGAGGCUAAACCGUGUGCGUGUGAUACCUGGCAGGGGUUGCGUGUGCGGUGUUGUGGGGUGUAGCUGGUCGUGUUCUGCCAGAUACGUCUGCGUGGUGUGUGUGUAAGCGGAAGUGGUCUGGGAUGGCCCACCGGAGUAGGUGAGAGUCCUGUACGUGAAUGUGCAUGUGCCUGUGGUGGCUAUGUUUGCCCCGAGUAGCAGCGGGCUCGUGGAAUCUGCUGUGAAUCAGCCGGGACCACCCGGUAAGCCUAAAUACUCAGUGUGACCGAUAGUGGAUUUAGUACCGUGAGGGAAUGGUGAAAAGUACCCCGGGAGGGGAGUGAAAUAGUUCCUGAAACUGUGUGCCUACAAUCCGUCAGAGCACCUCAAAGUGUGUGAUGGCGUGCCUUUUGAAGAAUGAGCCUGCGAGUCAGCGGCAUGUCGCGAGGUUAACCCGUGUGGGGUAGUCGUAGCGAAAGCGAAUGCUAAUUGUGUGUUUUUAGUGGCAUGUCCUGGACCCGAAGCGGGGUGAUCUACCCAUGGCCAGUGUGAAGCAGCUGUAAGAGGUUGUGGAGGCGCGAACCCACGUAGGUUGAAAACUGCGGGGAUGAGCUGUGGGUAGGGGUGAAAGGCCAAUCAAACUCCGUGAUAGCUGGUUCUCCCCGAAAUGCAUUUAGGUGCAGCGUCGCGUAGGUGUGCCGGAGGUAGAGCUACUGGUUGGUUGAGCGGGACUAUCAUCUUAGCAAUGUCAGCCAAACUCCGAAUGCCGGU
rnacentral:rRNA from 1 species